GAACCUGAGAAAUGAUAUGCAUGAAGAGAUUAGCUUUUUCUUUUUCUCUUUCUUUUUUCCAUUUUUUCAUCAAUUUUUUUUUUGAUUGCAUAUUUUUUUUUUGAAAAUAAACAUGCUAUGAUGCAAAUGAUGCAGAUAAGACUGGCUGGCUGUGUAUCUCGGAGCACAGGAUCAAAGCUUCGGCUUGAACUCGGAACCACAAAUCAUCUGAGACCCAAAAUCAUCUGAGACCCAACAAUUCUGAACCAAGUCACCAACAGAACCACAAGUCACCAACAAGUCACCGACAAGUCACCAACUGUACCUGUAAUAAUGAUCAUUCCCUCCCCACUCACGGGUGUCAUCUAGGCCAGGGUAAGGUCGAGAGAAAUGCAGCAUAAAU
rnacentral:lncRNA from 1 species